CCUACGGGUGGCAGCAGUGGGGGAUAUUGCACAAUGGGGGGAACCCUGAUGCAGCGACGCCGCGUGGGUGAAGGAGCGUUUCGGCGCGUAAAGCCCUAUCGGCCGGGAAGAAGAUGACGGUACCUGACCAAGAAGCCCCGGCUACCUACGUGCCAGCAGCCGCGGUAAUACGGAGGGGGCAAGCGUUAUCCGGAUUUACUGGGUGUAAAGGGAGCGUAGACGGGAGCACAAGUCUGGAGGGAAAUGCCGGGGCUUAACCCCGGAACUGCUGUGGAAACUGUGCAGCUAGAGUGCAGGAGAGGUAUGUGGAAUUCGUAGUGUAGCGGUGAAAUGCGUAGAUAUUAGGAGGAACACCAGUUGCGAAGGCGGCUUACUGGACUGUAACUGACGUUGAGGCUCGAAAGUGUGGGGAGCAAACAGGAUUAGAUACCCCAGUAGUC
rnacentral:rRNA from 1 species